GAGGUUGACACGAACUACGAUGGUCUUUACAGAGCCAGAAAACGCUUUUUUUCAUUCACUCCUGAGAGUCCAGAUAACGACGUGUUACAACCGGUGUUGUUAAGGAGCACUGAAACAACAUUUUAAGGAACACCACGAACUCCACGAUGUCCUUUGCAC